CCUACGGGAGGCAGCAGUGGGGGAUAUUGCACAAUGGGGGAAACCCUGAUGCAGCGACGCCGCGUGAGUGAAGAAGGUUUUCGGAAUGUAAAGUCCUAUUAGCAGGGAAGAAAAUGACAGUAUCUGACCAAUAAGCCCCGGCUAACUCCGUGCCAGCAGCCGCGGUAAUACGGAGGGGGCAAGCGUUAACCGGAUUUACUGGGCGUAAAGGGCGCGUAGGCGGGAUAGCAAGUCUGAAGUGAAAUCCUGUGGCUUAACCAUGGGACUGCUUUUGAAACUGUGUAUCUGGAGUAUGGGAGGGGCAGGUGGAAUUCUUGGUGUAGGGGUAAAAUCCGUAGAGAUCAAGAGGAACACCGACGGCGAAGGCGACCUGCUAGAAUAUAACUGACGCUGAUGCUCGAAAGCGUGGGGAGCAAACAGGAUUAGAUACCCGGGUAGUC
rnacentral:rRNA from 1 species